CUUCUGUAACAUCCAGCUGAAGACUACCUUUGAUAGAUUUGAUGUUUCAGGGAACAAGGACUGUCGCCAGAAUGUUUUCUGCCACUCACUCAGUUCUGGUCAUCUUCUUAAUACUUGGAGGGACCAAUGGUGACUCAGUGAACCAGACAGAAGGCCCAGUGACUGUCUUAGAGGGGGCUCUCAUGACCCUGAACUGCACUUACCAGACCAUGUAUUCAGAUCCCUAUCUUUUUUGUGUCUUAAAAGUCAAAAGCAUGAAGCUACUUGAGGAUUUGCUCCUGACUGGCUGAGCCCAGCAGAAAGGCUCUCUUGUGCAUUAGAGAAGAACUAAGACACAGGAGCAGCCCCUCAGGGGAGAAGAUUUGGAAUCACUAAAAUUGCAUCAAGAGUGAGGUGGCAGGAUGGAGAACAUGCUGGAAUGUGCAUUCAUGGUCUUGUGGCUUCAGCUUGGAUGGCUGCGUGGAGAAGACCGAGUGGAGCAGAGUCCUCAGACCCUGAGAACCCAGGAGGGGGGCAGUCUCAGCCUCAACUGCAGCCACACCGUCAGCGGUUUCAGAGGGCUACAGUGGUAUAGACAAGACCCCGGGAAGGGCCCUGAACUCCUCUUCCUUCUUAACUCAGCUGGGGAUGAAAAGCAGAAAGAAAGACUGAGAGCCACCUUGUUAAAGAAGGGAAGUUCUCUGCACAUCGAAGCCCCCAAACCCGAAGACUCAGCCACUUACCUCUGCGCUGUGCAGACACAGUGCUCCCCAGGCACCUGCAGACAGUACCCAAACCCUGAGGCUGCGGCUCUAGAAUAAGGGCGUCUUUGCUGUUUUCCUUCCUCCCGAGCACCCAGAGCCUCUUCCCAAGUGG